rnacentral:rRNA from 1 species
UUCGCAAUGCCCGAAAGGGUGACGAAGCGACGCCGCGUGUGGGAAGAAGGCCUUCGGGUUGUAAACCACUGUCGGGAGUUAAGAAAUGUAAGGGUGUUAAUAGCGUCCUUACUUGACUAAGGCUCCGGAGGAAGCCACGGCUAACUCUGUGCCAGCAGCCGCGGUAAUACAGAGGCGGCAAGCGUUGUUCGGAAUUAUUGGGCGUAAAGAGCACGUAGGCGGCCUUGAAAGUCAGUUGUGAAAGCCUUCUGCUUAACGGAAGAACAGCAUCUGAUACUACAGGGCUUGAGUGCGGGAGGGGAGAGUGGAACUUCUGGUGGAGCGGUGAAAUGCGUAGAUAUCAGAAGGAACGCCGGCGGCGAAAGCGGCUCUCUGGCCCGUAACUGACGCUGAGUGUGCGAAAGCUAGGGGAUCAAACGGGAUUAGAUACCCCGGUAGUCCUAGCCGUAAACGAUGGGCACUAAGUAGAGGGGUUUU